CGCGUAGGCGGCCUCCGCAAGUCAAUUGUGAAAUCUCCGGGCUUAACUCGGAAAGGUCAACUGAUACUGCGGGGCUAGAGUGCGGAAGGGGCAACUGGAAUUCUUGGUGUAGCGGUGAAAUGCGUAGAUAUCAAGAGGAACACCUGCGGCGAAGGCGGGUUGCUGGGCCGACACUGACGCUGAGGCGCGAAAGCUAGGGGAGCGAACG
rnacentral:rRNA from 1 species